UACGGGGGGGGCAAGCGUUGUUCGGAAUUACUGGGCGUAAAGGGCUCGUAGGCGGCCAACUAAGUCGGACGUGAAAUCCCUCGGCUUAACCGGGGAACUGCGUCCGAUACUGGAUGGCCUGAGUUCGGGAGAGGGAUGCGGAAUUCCAGGUGUAGCGGUGAAAUGCGUAGAUAUCUGGAGGAACACCGGUGGCGAAGGCGGCAUCCUGGACCGACACUGACGCUGAGGAGCGAAAGCCAGGGGAGCAAACGGG
rnacentral:rRNA from 1 species